rnacentral:rRNA from 1 species
AGAAUCAACGCUGGCGGCGUGCCUAACACAUGCAAGUCGAACGCGGUUACCCCGCAAGGGGUGACUGAGUGGCAAACGGGUGAGUAACGCGUGGGUGACCUACCUUCGAGUGGGGGAUAACGUCUCGAAAGGAACGCUAAUACCGCAUGACAUCCUGCCUUUGGACAGGCGGAGAUCAAAGCCGGGGAUCGCAAGACCUGGCGCUUAAAGAGGGGCCCGCGUCCGAUUAGCUAGUUGGUGGGGUAACGGCUCACCAAGGCGACGAUCGGUAGCCGG